rnacentral:rRNA from 1 species
UACAGAGGUCCCAAGCGUUGUUCGGAUUCACUGGGCGUAAAGGGUGCGCAGGCGGUCGGGUAAGUCUGACGUGAAAUCUCCAAGCUCAACUUGGAAAUGGCGUCGGAUACUAUUCGGCUGGAGGAAUGGAGGGGAGACUGGAAUUCUCGGUGUAGCAGUGAAAUGCGUAGAUAUCGAGAGGAACACCAGUGGCGAAGGCGAGUCUCUGGACAUUUCCUGACGCUGAGGCACGAAAGCCAGGGGAGCAAACGGG